GCGCACCAGUCGAGAAAACUUCACACUGUGCGAAAGCACGAUGAGGGAAUCCCAAGUGCUUGCACGUAAGUGUAAGCUGUUUCUCUGUUUAAAACGCAGAGAGAGUAAGGGCCGGGUAAGACGGGUGCCAGCCGCCGCGGUAAUACCUGCAGCUCAAGUGGUGACCGUUAUUAUUGGGCCUAAAACGUCCGUAGCCGGUUUAAUAAAUGCCUGGGUAAAUCGUGUAGCUUAACUAUACGAAUUCCGGGUGGACUGUUAAACUCGAGACCGGGAGAAGUUAGAGGUACUCCUGGGGUAGAGGUGAAAUUCUGUAAUCCUAGGGGGACCACCAGUGGUGAAGGCGUCUAACUAGAACGGGUCUGACGGUGAGGGACGAAGCCCUGGGGCGCAAACGGGAUUAGAUACCCCUGUAGU
rnacentral:rRNA from 1 species